GACGAACGCUGGCGGCGUGCCUAAUACAUGCAAGUCGAGCGAAUCCUUCGGGGUUAGCGGCGGACGGGUGAGUAACACGUAGGCAACCUGCCCGUAAGUCUGGGAUAACUAUCGGAAACGAUAGCUAAUACCGGAUACGAAGAGAGAGCGCAUGUUCUCUUUUGGAAAGGCGGAGCAAUCUGCCACUUACGGAUGGGCCUGCGGCGCAUUAGCUAGUAGGCGGGGUAACGGCCCACCUAGGCGACGAUGCGUAGCCGACCUGAGAGGGUGAUCGGCCACACUGGGACUGAGACACGGCCCAGACUCCUACGGGAGGCAGCAGUAGGGAAUCUUCCGCAAUGGGCGAAAGCCUGACGGAGCAACGCCGCGUGAGUGAUGAAGGUUUUCGGAUCGUAAAGCUCUGUUGCCAGAGAAGAACGCCGAGGAGAGUAACUGCUCUUCGGGUGACGGUAUCUGAGAAGAAAGCCCCGGCUAACUACGUGCCAGCCGCCGCCGUAACAC
rnacentral:rRNA from 1 species